AUACCGGAUGGUUGUCUGAACCGCAUGGUUCAGACAUAAAAGGUGGCUUCGGCUACCACUUACAGAUGGACCCGCGGCGCAUUAGCUAGUUGGUGAGGUAACGGCUCACCAAGGCGACGAUGCGUAGCCGACCUGAGAGGGUGAUCGGCCACACUGGGACUGAGACACGGCCCAGACUCCUACGGGAGGCAGCAGUAGGGAAUCUUCCGCAAUGGACGAAAGUCUGACGGAGCAACGCCGCGUGAGUGAUGAAGGUUUUCGGAUCGUAAAGCUCUGUUGUUAGGGAAGAACAAGUGCCGUUCAAAUAGGGCGGCACCUUGACGGUACCUAACCAGAAAGCCACGGCUAACUACGUGCCAGCAGCCGCGGUAAUACGUAGGUGGCAAGCGUUGUCCGGAAUUAUUGGGCGUAAAGGGCUCGCAGGCGGUUUCUUAAGUCUGAUGUGAAAGCCCCCGGCUAACCGGGGAGGGUCAUUGGAAACUGGGGAACUUGAGUGCAGAAGAGGAGAGUGGAAUUCCACGUGUAGCGGUGAAAUGCGUAGAGAUGUGGAGGAACACCAGUGGCGAAGGCGACUCUCUGGUCUGUAACUGACGCUGAGGAGCGAAAGCGUGGGGAGC
rnacentral:rRNA from 1 species